rnacentral:rRNA from 1 species
GAUGAACGCUGGCGGCGUGCCUAAUACAUGCAAGUCGAGCGAACGGACGAGAAGCUUGCUUCUCUGAUGUUAGCGGCGGACGGGUGAGUAACACGUGGAUAACCUACCUAUAAGACUGGUAUAACUUCGGGAAACCGGAGCUAAUACCGGAUAAUAUUUUGAACCGCAUGGUUCAAAAGUGAAAGACGGUCUUGCUGUCACUUAUAGAUGGAUCCGGGCUUCAUUAGCUAGUUGGUAGGGUAACGGCUUAUCAAGGCAACGAUGCAUAGCCGACCUGAGGGGGUGAUCGGCCACACUGGAACUGAGACACGGUCCAGACUCCUACGGGAGGCAGCAGUAGGGAAUCUUCCGCAAUGGGCGAAAGCCUGGCGGAGCAACGCCGCGUGAGUGAUGAAGGUCUUCGGAUCGUAAAACUCUGUUAUUAGGGAAGAACAUAUGUGUAAGUAACUGUGCACAUCUUGACGGUACCUAAUCAGAAAGCCACGGCUAACUACGUG